AGUGAACGCUGGCGGUAGGCCUAACACAUGCAAGUCGAACGGCAGCACAGUAAGAGCUUGCUCUUACGGGUGGCGAGUGGCGGACGGGUGAGGAAUACAUCGGAAUCUACUUUUUCGUGGGGGAUAACGUAGGGACACUUACGCUAAUACCGCAUACGACCUACGGGUGAAAGCAGGGGAUCUUCGCACCUUGCGCGUUUGAAUGAGCCGAUGUCGGAUUAGCUAGUUGGCGGGGUAAAGGCCCACCAAGGCGACGAUCCGUAGCUGGUCUGAGAGGAUGAUCAGCCACACUGGAACUGAGACACGGUCCAGACUCCUACGGGAGGCAGCAGUGGGGAAUAUUGGACAAUGGGCGCAAGCCUGAUCCAGCCAUACCGCGUGGGUGAAGAAGGCCUUCGGGUUGUAAAGCCCUUUUGUUGGGAAAGAAAAGCAGCAGGUGAAUACCCCGCUGUUCUGACGGUACCCAAAGAAUAAGCACCGGCUAACUUCGUG
rnacentral:rRNA from 1 species